rnacentral:rRNA from 1 species
UACGGGGGGAGCAAGCGUUGUUCGGAUUUACUGGGCGUAAAGGGCGGGUAGGCGGCCACCGCAAGUCAGUUGUGAAAUCUCUGGGCUUAACCCAGAAAGGUCAACUGAUACUGCGGGGCUAGAGUGCAGAAGGGGCAACUGGAAUUCUCGGUGUAGCGGUGAAAUGCGUAGAUAUCGAGAGGAACACCUGCGGCGAAGGCGGGUUGCUGGGCUGACACUGACGCUGAGACGCGAAAGCGUGGUGAGCAAACAGG